CUACGGGAGGCAGCAGUAGGGAAUAUUGCUCAAUGGGCGAAAGCCUGAAGCAGCAACGCCGCGUGGAGGAUGAAGGUUUUAGGAUUGUAAACUCCUUUUGUUAGAGAAGAUUAUGACGGUAUCUAACGAAUAAGCACCGGCUAACUCCGUGCCAGCAGCCGCGGUAAUA
rnacentral:rRNA from 1 species